rnacentral:rRNA from 2 species
AAGGUUUCCGUAGGUGAACCUGCGGAAGGAUCAUUAUUGAAUGAACUUGGUGUGGUUGUCGCUGGCCCUCUUGGGGGCAUGUGCACACCUACCAUCCUCAUCUCUCCACCUGUGCACCUCUUGUAGAUUUGGAAUUGAUUAUCCGAGGCAACUCGGUCGUGAGGACUGCUAGCACUUAGCUGGCUUUCUUUGCAAUUCCAGGUCUAUGUUUUUCAUAUACCCCAUUGUAUGUAACAGAAUGUAUCAUUGGGCCCUUGUGCCUAUAAACCUUAUACAACUUUCAGCAACGGAUCUCUUGGCUCUCGCAUCGAUGAAGAACGCAGCGAAAUGCGAUAAGUAAUGUGAAUUGCAGAAUUCAGUGAAUCAUCGAAUCUUUGAACGCACCUUGCGCUCCUUGGUAUUCCGAGGAGCAUGCCUGUUUGAGUGUCAUUAAAUUCUCAACCAUUAUCAACUUUUGCUGAUAAUGGCUUGGAUGUGGGGGUCUAUUUUGCUGGCUUCUCAGAUAGUCAGCUCCCCUUAAAUGCAUUAGCCGGUGCCCCGCGUGGACUGUCUAUUGGUGUGAUAAUUAUCUACGCUAUAGACAUCUGCAAUCAUAUGGGUUUGCGCUGCUUCUAACAGUCUGUUGAUUCAGACAAUACAUGACAAUUUGACCUCAAAUCAGGUAGGACUACCCGCUGAACUUAA